GGGGAGUGGGGCCCUACUGUCCAGACGGGCGGGGAGACUCAGGGCCGGGGAGCGAGGACAUCAGAUUGACAUCCAGCAGCGGGACGUGUGAAUGGCAUUCACCACCAUGACUGAUGGAGCGGACCAGGGAGGAGAUCCAGUGGCCUCGACAACGAGGACAGACGACGCUCCUCCAAUGUCUUCGAUGACAGAGCUCCUGGAAA